UAACAAUAACCUUGUAUGUGAUUGGAGGACCCUUAGACUCCUCGUCCAAUCACGUGUGAGGUCAUAGGCAUGACUGAUACAGCAGUACUUGCAAGACGAGCAUACAAACAGUGUGUUACUAUAUUCAGAAGAACUGUAUCUCCAGUUCCUUUGUUUGGUUUUUGCUGCUUUGUGAAUAAUGGCUGGACGACGUCUCGCGUUCAACUGGCCUUCAACUCCUCUCCGCGGUCACCAACUUUCGGCCAGUCCGCAGACAGACGUGAAGAAGCUGCUGAAAGCUCUCAGUGGAUCGUCUCGUCAACUCCAACAACAAACUGCCGAUAUCAACGAGCGGUUCGCUCCACUGGAGCGUUCGGGACUCUGCGGGUUUCUGUCCAUAGAGGAGAGGAACCGACUCAAAGAAGAGGAGACGGGCGCACGAUCCCAAGAUAGCGGAAGCGGUGCGCCGUCUUCACAACUCCGAGACGAAUUACAGGCGCUACGAACCGGAGCAAGGACUAAUCUCGCCUCAUAAUGAGGCGGUGACCUCGUAUUUGCUCCGGGAAAAGUCCAGAUUUAGACGACGUCAUUGUGUCUCCCUGUGAGACGUAUUGUGAGACCGGACGCAGGAGCUUCAGGUUCAGCCGGAACACUCAUUGCGGGCGGAAGCUGCGAAGGAUUCAGCGCGGAGUCAAGCGAGAAGAAAGAGGCUGCUGGAAUCGAGACAAAGUGUGCUGGCUGAUGACGAGGUGGAACUCUGGAAAUCCGCCACCGUAGAGCUCAUGUCGGACGAAGAGGAUGGCGUUGUUGGCGGGGUCUCGGGGUGGAUUGUACGGUCGCCGCCAUUGCGUAGUCAGUCCCGGUUAGAGGCGACUCAGAAAUACCGAGCAACACACACUAGGCGCCUGCACAACAGACCUGCCUCGGAAAACACGCCGCCAGUGACGGUUUACAACCCCGAGGAGGCAAACGGACAGUUUACUGAGCUGUAUUUUUUUAAACCGUCGUUACCCAAGUGUGGGUAGGUCCUCACUUUGGAUAUAGUUGUUG
ensembl:lncRNA